AUCUUAGACAAUGGGGGAAACCCUGAUCUAGCCAUGCCGCGUGAGUGAUGAAGGCCUUCGGGUUGUAAAGCUCUUUCAGCCGGGAAGAUAAUGACGGUACUAGCAGAAGAAGCCCCGGCCAACUCCGUGCCAGCAGCCGCGGUAAUACGGAGGGGGCCCGCGUUGUUCGGAAUUACUGGGCGUAAAGCGCACGUAGGCGGACCAGAAAGUUGGGGGUGAAAUCCCGGGGCUCAACCUCGGAACUGCCUCCAAAACUAUUGGUCUGGAGUUCGAGAGAGGUGAGUGGAAUUCCGAGUGUAGAGGUGAAAUUCGUAGAUAUUCGGAGGAACACCAGUGGCGAAGGCGGCUCACUGGCUCGAUACUGACGCUGAGGUGCGAAAGCGUGGGGAGCAAACAG
rnacentral:rRNA from 1 species